AUGGCCUGGACCGCUCUCCUGCUCCCCCUCCUCACUCUUGGCUCAGGCUCCGUGGCCUCCUACGAGCUGACCCAGUCGUCUUCCUUGUCGGUGGCCUCGGGAGAGACGGCCACGAUCACCUGCACUGGAGAUUUCAUCGAUAAAAGAUAUACUCUCUGGUACCAGCAGAAGCCCGGCCAGGUCCCUGCGCUGGUCAUUUAUAAGGAUAGCGAGCGGCCCUCGGGGAUCCCUGAGCGAUUCUCCGGCUCCAGCUCAGGGAAGACUGUCACGCUGACCAUCAGCGGGGCCCAGGCUGAGGACGAGGCUGACUAUUACUGUCUGUCAGAUGAGAGCGAUGAUAGUGCUCACAAAUGCCCCAGCUAUGGGAGCUCAGGAAGUCCCAGCGUGUCGUGA